rnacentral:snRNA from 1 species
AACCGCCGGAAAUGAGUUGUUGU